AGGAUAAACGCUGGCGGCGUGCCUAAUACAUGCAAGUCGAGCGGCAGCGCGGUCUUCGGACUGGCGGCGAGCGGCGGACGGCUGAGUAACACGUAGGAACGUACCCCAAAGUGAGGGAUAAGCACCAGAAAUGGUGUCUAAUACCGCAUGUGCUCUAAGGAGUAAAGCUUCGGCGCUUUGGGAACGGCCUACGCAUGAUUAGCUUGUUGGUGAGGUAAUGGCUCACCAAGGCGACGAUCAUUAGGCUGGUCUGAGAGGAUGAUCAGCCAGACUGGGACUGAGAACGGCCCAGACUCCUACGGGAGGCAGCAGUAGGGAAUUUUCCACAAUGGGCGAAAGCCUGAUGGAGCAACGCCGCGUGCAGGAUGAAGGCCUUAGGGUUGUAAACUGCUUUUAUGUGUGACGAAUAUGACGGUAGCAUAUGAAUAAGGAUCGGCUAACUCCGUGCCAGCAGCCGC
rnacentral:rRNA from 1 species